AGUGAACGCUGGCGGCGUGCUUAACACAUGCAAGUCGAACGAGAACGGAUUAUAGCUUGCUAUAAUUGUCAGCUAAGUGGCGCACGGGUGAGUAAUGUAUAGAUAACCUGCCCUCUAGAAAGGAAUAACAGUUGGAAACGACUGCUAAUGCCCUAUAUGCCUUUAAUACAUAAGUAUGCAAGGGAAACGCUUUAGUGCUAGAGGAUGGGUCUGUAUGGUAUCAGUUAGUUGGUGAGGUAAUGGCUCACCAAGACUAUGACGCCUAACUGGUUUGAGAGGAUGAUCAGUCACACUGGAACUGAGACACGGUCCAGACUCCUACGGGAGGCAGCAGUGGGGAAUAUUGCACAAUGGACGAAAGUCUGAUGCAGCAACGCCGCGUGGAGGGUGACACAUUUCGGUGCGUAAACUCCUUUUAUAUAGGAAGAUAAUGACGGUACUAUAUGAAUAAGCACCGGCUAACUCCGUGCCAGCAGCCGCAGUAA
rnacentral:rRNA from 1 species